rnacentral:rRNA from 1 species
UAUUAUAUUACGUGUAAUGUGUAGUCCUUGGGUAGUAUUAGUUAAGGUCUUAAAACUCAAAGAAUUUGGCGGUAUUGUAGUCUUUUCAGAGGAAUCUGUCCUUUAAUUGACAAUACACGAUCUGUUAUACUUUAUUUUGUAYAGUUUGUAUACCGCCGUCAUAAGAUUAUCUUGUUGGAGGGGUUUAAUUUUCUGGAUUUGAGAUUUUAAAGUAUGUCAGGUCAAGGUGCAGCUUAUGGUGAAGAAGAGAUGGAUUACAAUAAUUUUGAUUAUACGGAUGGUUGAURUAAGUGUUGAGUUGAAGGUGGAUUUGAUUGUAAAUUUGUUGUUGACUAAUUGAUUUUGGCUCUAUAAUGUGUACACAUCGCCCGUCGCUCUCGCUUUAUGUGAG